rnacentral:piRNA from 1 species
UAAACUGUUGAUUGUUGACUCUGUCUGCCG